rnacentral:rRNA from 1 species
UGGGGAAUUUUGGACAAUGGGCGAAAGCCUGAUCCAGCAAUGCCGCGUGUGAAGAAGGCCUUCGGGUUGUAAAGCACUUUUGUCCGGAAAGAAAUCCUUGGCUCUAAUACAGUCGGGGGAUGACGGUACCGGAAGAAUAAGCACCGGCUAACUACGUGCCAGCAGCCGCGGUAAUACGUAGGGUGCAAGCGUUAAUCGGAAUUACUGGGCGUAAAGCGUGCGCAGGCGGUUUGCUAAGACCGAUGUGAAAUCCCCGGGCUCAACCUGGGAACUGCAUUGGUGACUGGCAGGCUAGAGUAUGGCAGAGGGGGGUAGAAUUCCACGUGUAGCAGUGAAAUGCGUAGAGAUGUGGAGGAAUACCGAUGGCGAAGGCAGCCCCCUGGGCCAAUACUGACGCUCAUGCACGAAAGCGUGGGGAGCAAAACAGGAUUAGAUACCCUGGUAGUCCACGCCCUAAACGAUGUCAACUAGUUGUUGGGGGAUUCAUUUCCUUAGUAACGUAGCUAACGCGUGAAGUUGACCGCCUGGGGAGUACGGUCGCAAGAUUAAAACUCAAAUGAAUUGACGGGGUCAUAGCUGUUU